ACAUGGCACACUGGAGAAUCCCUGGGUGAUUCUGAUACUAAGAUCAUGAGGUCUGCACAGGUAUAUAUUGGGGAGUGGCUCCGGCACUAUAUGCCAUUGAAAGAACGGACACUAAGCAAAGAUGCAGACAAAUUGUCUCAAGUUUCUGUUUCAAACGCCUCUAAGCGUCAUUUGUCUGAAUCUGGAACUAGAAGUGUUAUGUGGUUAAGUGAAAUACUGUUAAAUUGCAAUUUUUGAUGUACAAACAAACUAAUUAAUUGUUUUUAA